GGCUGGAUCACCUCCUUUUGAGCAUGACAACUACGCCUACAGGCGUCCUCACAAGUAACCUGCAUUCAGAGAGUUCCGCCACAGGGCGGAGCACCCCGAUUUCGGGGCCAUAGCUCAGCUGGGAGAGCACCUGCUUUGCAAGCAGGGGGUCGUCGGUUCGAUCCCGACUGGCUCCACCAGAUUUGCAGAUCCCUCUGCAAACGCUCGCACCUGCGUGUGCGGACGGUCUCAGGGACCUGCAAGAGCCAAGACUUUGGGUCUGUAGCUCAGGUGGUUAGAGCGCACCCCUGAUAAGGGUGAGGUCGGUGGUUCGAGUCCUCCCAGACCCACCACUCUGAAUGUAAGAAGCACACUAAGAAUUUAAGAUGCGCCAGCAGUGAGGCUGGGGUAUGUUCUUUUAAAAUUUGUGACGUAGCGAGCGUUUGAGAUCAAACUAUCUUGACGUGUCGUUGUGGCUAAGGCGGGGACCUCGAGUCCCUAGAAAUUGAGUCGUUAUAGUUCGCGUCCGGGCGUUGUACCCCCGGACUCAGCAUGACCUUGAGGCAACUUGAGGUUAUA
rnacentral:tRNA from 1 species